AAUCUACUUUUUCGUGGGGGAUAACGUAGGGAAACUUACGCUAAUACCGCAGACGACCUACGGGUGAAAGCAGGGGAUCUUCGGACCUUGGGCGAUUGAAUGAGCCGAUGUCGGAUUAGCUAGUUGGCGGGGUAAAGGCCCACCAAGGCGACGAUCCGUAGCUGGUCUGAGAGGAUGAUCACCCACACUGGAACUGAGACACGGUCCAGACUCCUACGGGAGGCAGCAGUGGGGAAUAUUGGACAAUGGGCGCAAGCCUGAUCCAGCCAUACCGCGUGGGUGAAGAAGGCCUUCGGGUUGUAAAGCCCUUUUGUUGGGAAAGAAAUCCAGCCGGCUAAUACCUGGUUGGGAUGACGGUACCCAAAGAAUAAGCACCGGCUAACUUCGUGCCAGCAGCCGCGGUAAUACGAAGGGUGCAAGCGUUACUCGAAAUUACUGGGCGUAAAGCGUGCGUAGGUGGUUGUUUAAGUCUGUUGUGAAAGCCCUGGGCUCAACCUGGGAACUGCA
rnacentral:rRNA from 1 species